GACGAACGCUGGCGGCGUGCUUAACACAUGCAAGUCGAACGGAAAGGCCUCUUUCGGGGGGUACUCGAGUGGCGAACGGGUGAGUAACACGUGAGUAACCUGCCCUUGACUUUGGGAUAACUUCAGGAAACUGGGGCUAAUACCGGAUAGGAGCUCCUGCUGCAUGGUGGGGGUUGGAAAGUUUCGGCGGUUGGGGAUGGACUCGCGGCUUAUCAGCUUGUUGGUGGGGUAGUGGCUUACCAAGGCUUUGUCGGGUAGCCGGCCUGAGAGGGUGACCGGCCACAUUGGGACUGAGAUACGGCCCAGACUCCUACGGGAGGCAGCAGUGGGGAAUAUUGCACAAUGGGUGGAAGCCUGAUGCAGCAACGCCGUGUGCGGGAUGACGGCCUUCGGGUUGGAAACCGCUUUCGCUCAUGACGAAGCUUUGUGUGACGGUAGUGGGUAAAGAAGCACCGGCUAACUACGUG
rnacentral:rRNA from 1 species